rnacentral:lncRNA from 1 species
AGCACAUGAAUCUUACUGUUCAAUCACCCACUUCCCACACGCAACAAUACCUCAUGGGUACCACAGAUAACUUUGCCAAAGUUCUCUGCCAAAGUUGAGCACGUGAAGCUUGCAGCUCCCACUACAUCGUUCUGACCAAGAAAGGUAAAAGAAUAGCAAAGAAACAGCACUAACAAAGUUUAGACACAUAAAUUUUGAAGGUCUAGCUACCAUAUUAUUACCCACAAGGGUAAAGGAACAGUACCAUUGCUGGAUAAUUGGAAAGUUCCUGUGUGUCAACCUCUCUGCUUCGUGGCAAGGUAGACUAGCAAACAUGCCCAACCUUUACUCACAUUCGAGAAAACACUCCCAACAAAAUUGCUUGCUGAUCGGAUCAUAUUUAUAUAUAUUUUUACUUCAAAUUUACCCGUCUUUUCUUAGUUAGUUCCUUAUAUUUUUGAGCUAUUUACGUUAUUUUUGUGUUUACAGGAUUUGUUAUGUUUUGUAGAAAGAAUAAAGAAAAGAAAAGAAAAAAAUAAAAAAAAUAAAAGAUAGAAAGGAAAUUGGGGGAGACGGGCUGCCUGUGGGCAGCUUUGAAAAGCUUUGAAGAAAAAAAAAACAAGAAAACAAAAAUAUAAAAAAGAAAGGAACAGCGGCAAAAGGAGUGAAAAACGUGGGAUUGGACCAGAAGACAGCUAGGGAGGACUGGUGGGCAGCGGGAUCCAAGGAAAUAAGAGAAUAAGGGAAUAAAAAAAGGGACGGACAGCAGUAGUGUGGAGAAAAGAAAAAAUAAUAAAGAAUAGAGAGAAGUGGGAGGGCAGGCGAAUAGUAUGGCAGAGAUGCUGCCUUUGGCAGCGUAAAACGUAAAGAAGAAAAGGGGGACAGCACAAGAAGAAAGGAAAAGCUGCCCUUGGGCAGCUAAAAGAGUCAGGAGAGGGAGAGGGAGAGGGCGAGAGGCAUUAGCCUCGUGGAAGGGGAAUUUUGGUGGAAGGCAGAGG